rnacentral:rRNA from 1 species
UACGGGGGGAGCAAGCGUUGUUCGGAAUUACUGGGCGUAAAGCGUGCGCAGGCGGUUUUGUAAGCCAGAUGUGAAAGCCCCGGGCUCAACCUGGGAAUGGCAUUUGGGACUGCAAGGCUUGAGUGCGGCAGAGGAGACUGGAAUUCCUGGUGUAGCAGUGAAAUGCGUAGAUAUCAGGAGGAAUACCGAUGGCGAAGGCAGGUCUCUGGGCUGACACUGACGCUCAUGCACGAAAGCGUGGGGAGCAAACAGGAUUAGAGUACCCCU